rnacentral:lncRNA from 1 species
UUAUGAUUAGCUGAAGUCCAAUUCUCAUAUUUUGAAGAGUCUCCAAGUGGAAUCUAGAAAAAUAAUUAAACAAAUAAAAUAAAAGCAACGGUGAUUAUUGAUUAAAAUUGUGUUAAUCGUGAUUAUAAUUUUUUUUAAUCAUGUAAGCGCGUUUCGGAUGUACCUUGGAUCUACAUGACAUGUCUUUGCCCAUAUCCAUAUAGUUUAGGAAAUGGUGGAAUUUAAAGAUUUAUUAUCUUAUAAGAAAUGAAUAAAUUGAGGAUUUUAUUACUGAACAAAAGGGGGGAAGACCAAUGAACAUAAGUAUUAAAAAACUUUUUGUAUUUAAAAUAACAACAUCUGUGAAUAUUUAGUCAAGUGAUAUUUUAGAAGUUUCAUUAGAUUUCGUCUUUGUUGUGUAGUGCUAAAUAUUGUUGAAUAUAAGAUUAAAAUGUCCCAUUUCAAAUAUAGGUAUACUCAUAUAUACUACUAGGAUAAUAUUUGGAUUUCCACAAAUUAUGGAUAAAGAAUUGGUGCGUCUUAACAGGUAAUUUGUACUUUGUCAUAUAAUUUACAUACUUUAUAUUUUAAGAUAAUAUCUUAGAACAUUGUCUUUUAAAAUUGUUAGGGCCUCACAGGAGUAUAUAAAAGCUUCAGAAAAUUUAGUCAUUACUGCUCAUCGUAAUUUAGGCAAACCAGAUAAAAUUUUAUGUCCUUGUAAAGGUUGUCAAAACUUAAGACAUCAAUAUGUAAAUAUCGUUCACGAGCAUCUGGUCACAAGAGAAAUCGAUCCGACUUACACAAAUUGGUUUCACCAUGGAGAAAGACUGAUUAGUAAUGUUGAUACUAUAAGUAAGAUUGAAAUACUCAACUUGUUUGAAGCAACACAUACGAAUGAAGAACAUAACAAGGAAGUUUUUGAAGAGAAUUUGGAUGAUGACAUUAGUCGAUUGGUAAUGGAUGCUGAAACUCCGUUGUAUCUAGGAAAUGAAAAAUACACGAAGCUAUCUUCAAUUGUGACCUUAUAUAAGCUUAAAACUACUAGUGGUUGGUCAGAUAAUAGCUUUACAGAACUUCUAAAUACAUUACAUGAUAUGUUACCUGAAGGUAAUGUAAUUCCUACAUCCACACUAUGUGUAAGAAAAUUUCUUAAGACAUUUGAUUUCGGAUAUGAGAAGAUUUAUGCAUGUAUCAAUGAUUGUUGUUUGUUUAGAAACAAUAAAAAUGAACUAGAUAGCUGUCCAAAAUGUGGUUCUUCGAGAUGGAAGGUCGAUAAGCAUACACGAAAGAAUAAAAAUGGUGUACCUGCUAAAGUCUUAAGAUACUUUCCUAUAAAACCUAGAUUCCAGAGGAUGUUUAGUACAUCGAAAAUGGAUGAAUCAUUAAUAUGGCAUUCAACCAAUCAGAGUGUUGAUGGUAAAAUGCGUCAUCCAGUAGAUUCUCCAUCUUGGGCUUUAAUUGAUAACAAGUGGCCAGAAUUUUCAAAUAAUCCACGCAAUCUUAGGCUUGGGCUUGCUACGGAUGGUUUCAAUCCAUUCAACAAUUUUAGCUCUACCUAUAGUUGUUGGCCAGUGAUGUUGGUUAUUUAUAAUCUACCACUAUGGUUAUGUAUGAAAAAAGAAAAUAUCAUGUUGUCAUUAUUAAUUCCAGGGCCUAAACAGCCUAGGAAUGAUAUUGAUAUAUAUUUGCAACCACUUAUAGAUUACUUGAGCGAAUUGUGGAAUAUUGGGAUGAAUGUGUAUAAUGCACACACUAAUGUAGUCUUUAACUUGAAAGCAAUACUUAUGUGGACUAUCAAUGAUUUCUCAGCUCUUGGAAAUUUAGCUGGAUGUAAAAUUAAGGGUAGGACAGGUUGCCCUGUAUGUUCUUAGAAUACUCAUUCACAGUGGUUAAAAUUCAGUAGAAAAUUUGCAUACAUGGGUCAUAGGAGAUUUUUGUCACCAUCUUAUCCGUUAAGGAAAAAGAAAUCUUGGUUUGAUGGACAUGAAGAAAAGGGAAGCAAACCUAAAAUUAUAUCUGCUAGCAACAUUCUGGUUACUCUUAAAGAUUAUGUCAACAAUUUUGGGAAAGCUCAAAAACGAAAAAGAAAGACAGAUGAUGGGAGCAUUCUAACAUGGAAAAAGAGUUCAAUCUUUUUUAACUUACCAUAUUGGGAGGUAAGAUUUUGGCAUUCUCCAACUUUUAUUCAAUUUUUUUUCAAUUAUCUGAAUAUACUUUUUGUAUGAAACUAACAAAAUCCUUUUUCUUUGUUACAUUAUUAGGUGCUACCAUUACGUUAUAAUUUGGAUGUAAUGCACAUUGAGAAAAAUAUAUGUGAAAGCAUUAUUGGUACAUUGUUAGAUAUAAAUGGUAAAAUAAAAGAUGGAUUAAAUGCUCGUAAGGAAUUACAAGACAUGGGAAUUAGGAAGGAGUUACAUCCAGAGGACUGAGGUAAUAGAAUAUACCUUCAUCCUACUCCACAUACGUUGUCAAGGUUAGAGAAACAAACAUUUUGUAAGAGGUUGUUUAACUUGAAAUUACCUUAUGGGUACAGUUCAAAUGUAGCCACUUAUAUAUCAGUAGAUGAAUGCAAAAUUAUUGGCCUCAAGUCACAUGAUUGUCAUGUCCUCAUGCAACAACUUUUGGCUGUAGCAUUAAGAGUAUUACUUCCAAAAUGACCAAGACAUGCAAUUUUUAGACUAUGUACAUUCUUCAAUAGAUUAUGCCAACGUGUUGUUGAUAGGGAGAAAAUAGCAAUAUUAGAAGAUGAAGUAGCUGAAACCUUAUGCAGUCUUGAAAGAUUCUUUCCUCCUGCAUUUUUUGAUAUCAUGAUACAUUUGGUGGUACAUUUGGGAAGAGAAGUACGAUUAUGUGGUCCAGUUCACUAUUGUUGGAUGUAUCCUUUUGAGAGGUGAGAAAUUCACUAUUACUUGGAUAAAUUUACCCACAUAAUUGCAUUCUUAGUACUAAUUUGUUUACUUUGUUUAAUUAUAGACAUAUGAAGAUAUUCAAAGGACAUGUGAGAAAUCGUGCAGAUCCGAAUGUUAUAUAGCUGAAUGUUAUCUUGCAGAUGAGUGCAUGAAUUUUUGUAUCGAGUUUAUGAAACAAGUAAGAGAAAUUGGUCAUCGAGAGGGGCGCAAUCAAGAUUAUGUUACCAAUGAAACUGAGGGACAUCCCAUUUCUGCUCCAAAUUUUAUUACACUAAGUAAUGAAAUGUUAGAGAUAGCACAUCGUUAUGUAUUAUUCAAUACAUCUUAUGUGGAACCUUAUUUGGAGUAAGUCAUCCAUUAUUCAUAUUAAUAAGUGUAGAACAUGUAUAUAAAUCUGUAAUCUCUGAUAACUUGCUUAUUAUUAGAAUGCAUAAAGAGGAGCUCAAG